AGCAGAGUGCUGUAGUGGUUAGAAUGUCAGACUAAGGACUGGAAGCCUGGGGUUCGAAUCCCCACUUGGCCA